UGGGGAAUAUUGCACAAUGGAGGGAACUCUGAUGCAGCAACGCCGCGUGCGGGAUGACGGCCUUCGGGUUGUAAACCGCUUUCAGCCAUGACGAAGCUUUUGUGACGGUAGUGGUAGAAGAAGCACCGGCUAACUACGUGCCAGCAGCCGCGGUGAUACGUAGGGUGCGAGCGUUGUCCGGAAUUAUUGGGCGUAAAGAGCUUGUAGGCGGUUUGUCGCGUCGAUAGUGUAAACACGCAGCUUAACUGUGUGCCUGCUGUCGAUACGGGCUGACUAGAGGAGGGUAGGGGGGGAUGGAAUUCCCGGUGGAGCGGUGGAAUGCGCAGAUAUCGGGAGGAACACCAGUGGCGAAGGCGGUUCUCUGGACCUUUCCUGACGCUGAGAAGCGAAAGCGUGGGUAGCAAACAGG
rnacentral:rRNA from 1 species